rnacentral:rRNA from 1 species
UAGUCCACGCCCUAAACGAUGCUUACUCGAUGUUUGUAUUUAUAUGAGCAUCCAAGGGAAACCGUUAAGUAAGCCACCUGGGGAGUACGUCCGCAAGAAUGAAACUCAAAGGAAUUGACGGGGGUCCGCACAAGCGGUGGAGUAUGUGGUUUAAUUCGAUGAUACGCGAAGAACCUUACCUGGGCUCUAAUUCUAUACGCCAGGUCCUUAAAGGGACUUUUUCUUCGGAACGUAUAGGAAGGUGCUGCAUGGUUGUCGUCAGCUCGUGCCGUGAGGUGUUGGGUUAAGUCCCGCAACGAGCGCAACCCCUGUCCUUAGUUGCCAUCGAGUAAAGUCGGGGACUCUAAGGAGACUGCCUGCGCAAGCAGUGAGGAAGGAGGGGACGACGUCAAAUCAUCAUGGCCUUUAUGCCCAGGGCUACACACGUACUACAAUGGUAAAGACAAAGGGUAGCUACUUGGCGACAAGAUGCCAAUCCCAAAACUUUAUCUCAGUUCGGAUUGGAGUCUGCAACUCGACUCCA